rnacentral:rRNA from 1 species
GACAACUCAUAACACCUUAACCUC